rnacentral:rRNA from 1 species
UACAGAGGUCUCAAGCGUUUGUUCGGAUUCAUUGGGCGUAAAGGGUGUGUAGGUGGCGCCGUAAGUCGGGUGUGAAAUUUCGGAGCUUAACUCCGAAACUGCAUUCGAUACUGCGGUGCUUGAGGACUGGAGAGGAGACUGGAAUUCCACGUGUAGCGGUGAAAUGCGUAGAGAUGUGGAGGAACACCAGUGGCGAAGGCGACUCUUUGGCCUGUAACUGACACUGAGGCGCGAAAGCGUGGGGAGCAAACAGG